rnacentral:rRNA from 1 species
CAAACUGAAGAUGGCGACCGGCGCACGGGUGAGUAACACGUAUCCAACCUGCCGAUAACUCCGGAAUAGCCUUUCGAAAGAAAGAUUAAUACCGGAUAGUAUACGAAUAUCGCAUGAUAUUUUUAUUAAAGAAUUUCGGUUAUCGAUGGGGAUGCGUUCCAUUAGUUUGUUGGCGGGGUAACGGCCCACCAAGGCUACGAUGGAUAGGGGUUCUGAGAGGAAGGUCCCCCACAUUGGAACUGAGACACGGUCCAA